rnacentral:rRNA from 1 species
GGGGAAUAUUGCGCAAUGGGCGAAAGCCUGACGCAGCAACGCCGUGUGAGGGAUGAAGGCUUUCGGGUCGUAAACCUCUGUCAGAAGGGAAGAACGGGUGAUGGUCUAAUAGGCCGUCAUUUUGACGGUACCUUCAGAGGAAGCACCGGCUAACUCCGUGCCAGCAGCCGCGGUAAUACGGAGGGUGCAAGCGUUAUUCGGAAUUACUGGGCGUAAAGCGCACGUAGGCGGCCUUGUAAGUCAGGGGUGAAAUCCCACGGCUCAACCGUGGAACUGCCUUUGAAACUGCAGGGCUUGAAUCCUGGAGAGGGUGGCGGAAUUCCUGGUGUAGGAGUGAAAUCCGUAGAUAUCAGGAGGAACACCGGUGGCGAAGGCGGCCACCUGGACAGGUAUUGACGCUGAGGUGCGAAAGUGUGGGGAGCAAAC